GCGGUUGUGGCGGAAUGGCAGACGCGCUAGGUUGAGGGCCUAGUGAGGUUAAACUCGUGGAGGUUCGAGUCCUCUCAACCGCA
rnacentral:tRNA from 2 species